rnacentral:rRNA from 1 species
UCCUACGGGAGGCAGCAGCAGGGAAUAUUGCACAAUGGGCGAAAGCCUGAUGCAGCGACGCCGCGUGCGGGAUGAAGGCCUUCGGGUUGUAAACCGCUUUCAGGAGGGACGAAAAUGACGGUACCUCCAGAAGAAGGCUCGGCCAACUACGUGCCAGCAGCCGCGGUAAUACGUAGGUCCCGAGCGUUGUCCGGAUUUAUUGGGCGUAAAGCGAGCGCAGGUGGUUUAAUAAGUCUGAUGUAAAAAGCAGUGGCUCAACCAUUGUGUGCAUUGGAAACUGUUAGACUUGAGUGCAGUAGAGGAGAGUGGAAUUCCAUGUGUAGCGGUGAAAUGCGUAGAUAUAUGGAGGAACACCGGUGGCGAAAGCGGCUCUCUGGACUGUAACUGACACUGAGGCUCGAAAGCGUGGGUAGCAAACAGGAUUAGAUACCCUGGUAGUCCACGCCGUAAACGAUGAGUGCUAGUUGUUUGGGGCUAUCCAGCCCUAAGUGACGCAGCAAACGCAUUAAGCACUCCGCCUGGGGAGUACGACCGCAAAAUUGAAACUCAAAUGAAUUGACGGA